rnacentral:rRNA from 1 species
GUCGAGCGAACAGACGAGGAGCUUGCUUCUCUGACGUUAGCGGCGGACGGGUGAGUAACACGUGGAUAACCUACCUAUAAGACUGGGAUAACUUCGGGAAACCGGAGCUAAUACCGGAUAAUAUAUUGAACCGCAUGGUUCAAUAGUGAAAGACGGUUUUGCUGUCACUUAUAGAUGGAUCCGCGCCGCAUUAGCUAGUUGGUAAGGUAACGGCUUACCAAGGCAACGAUGCGUAGCCGACCUGAGAGGGUGAUCGGCCACACUGGAACUGAGACACGGUCCAGACUCCUACGGGAGGCAGCAGUAGGGAAUCUUCCGCAAUGGGCGAAAGCCUGACGGAGCAACGCCGCGUGAGUGAUGAAGGUCUUCGGAUCGUAAAACUCUGUUAUUAGGGAAGAACAAAUGUGUAAGUAACUAUGCACGUCUUGACGGUACCUAAUCAGAAAGCCACGGCUAACUACGUGCCAGCAGCCGCGGUAAUACGUAGGUGGCAAGCGUUAUCCGGAAUUAUUGGGCGUGAAGCGCGCGUAGGCGGUUUUUUAAGUCUGAUGUGAAAGCCCACGGCUCAACCGUGGAGGGUCAUUGGAAACUGAAAAACUUGAGUGCAGAAGAGGAAAGUGGAAUUCCAUGUGUAGCGGUGAAAUGCGCAGAGAUAUGGAGGAACACCAGUGGCGAAGGCGACUUUCUGGUCUGUAAC